rnacentral:tRNA from 1 species
UAGAGGGUAGUAUAAGUGGAAGUACUGAAAAUUUUGAGUUUUUAAAUGUAGGUUCCAAUCCUUUCUCUCUAG